CUCUUGCUUUGCAGAGGGCCAUUCUAACACCGGACAGCAGAGCAACUGCCCUUCAGUGGGGGAUAAACAGGGGCACCUUCUCUGAUAACAGCAAGGAUACAGAAGAAGAUACUCAUGGGUUCAGGGUUCAUGUCCUUGUCCAGGCAUCAGAAAGAAAGGAAGAAAGGAAGAAAGAAGGAAGGAAGGAAGGAAGAGAGGAAGGAAGGAAGGAAGGAAGGAAGGAAGGAAGGAAGGAAGGAAGGAAGAAAAGAAGAUGAUAUUCUUAUUUGGCAGACUUCUGAGCUUGCAUCAUUGCUCUUUGGUGACAGAAGAAGCUGAGUGCAGUUUCUCACAUUCCUCUGCGGUGCUGUGUACCUGCACGCGAGUGGGCAGGAAGGCAUGAGAGGAAGGGGCAGGGAUGUAUGGCUCUCUGAACUGAGGGAGUACAUGGCUACAUUGCUCCGAGGAGACAUGAUCACCUUAUUCAUGCUUACCUGUACUCCUACCUAAGGAGACUUUUUGAUGGAAGCUAAUGUAAGAUGCAAUAUGUUACACCUUUUCUCCGUAUUCUUUUCCUAGAUGUUUUCUGGGAGGCAUGUGUAAAUGAUUGUAAAGCAAAUGUUGAUGAGAGUGUGUGACGAAGGGGACACUAAACUCUGCCAAGAUGGGCAACAUCUGUUUGAUGGAGGGCCUGCCCUUAGUUUUGUGGGUCUUGUGAUUUCUGGGUCUCUGAUUCAGGAGAUGAUGGUAUGGGAGAGAGGACUUUCUCUCACACUUUCAUUCCUUCCUUUCUUUUCAAAUGGUCUCUGUUUUAUAAGCAAAGAUAGAGACUCAUAAGGCAAUAUUUGGUCAGAUUUUAUUUAACAAAACUCCAUUUGUCUGUAGGUUCUGGAGAUUCCUUGUGGACUUUUGCAUUUUUUUUUCUAAAAGAUUUUCCUUUCUUCUGUUUAUGAGUUUCAUCUUUGUCUUGCUGUUAUUGUUGCUGUUCUUUUUUCCAGUUUAUUUAUAGGUAUUUUGGUGGGAAGUUAGAAAAGAUUGAAUGAAGGUUAAGUUUCAAAUGCCAGUUUAAACUAGAAGUCUCAUGUCAUUUAUCUUCUCUGUGCAUUAUAAUCAGGAGAAAGAUGUGCAGAUUUGUAUUAAAGAGGAAAUAAGAGAGGAAGUGUGGAGAUUAGUAAGGAGCUGUGAUAGCUUAUAGUAUUGGAAACGUUUUUUUCUGAUCUACAUUUUAAAUAUUUAUUUUUAUUUUGUUUAAGGAAUACAACUUCAUGCAUUUAAUAUAUACAUAUUUGGGAACAUGGUAAUUUUUUCUCCCCUGCCUCCCUCCCACCUAUACUCCCACCUUUCUUCCUCCUCCCUCUUCCUUCCUCAUUCUUAUUUUUCACAGAGAUCAAUUUCAGUUAAUUUUAUACUCAUAAGAUUAACCCUACACUUACAUGGAGAGUAUGAAGAAAUAGUAUGAAAAAAAAAGAAAAACAACAAAAACAAACAAACAAAUAAGAAAAACAGUGAUCCUUGACAGUCUAGGCAAAGACUGUUCAAAUUCAUUGUAUCUCAAGGUGUCAGUUUCACCCCUAUAUAUUAUAUUUAAGUACUCCAUUAGUUACCACAGUUCAGAGAGUCUAUAUGGCAUUUGUCUUUUUGUGACUGGCUUAUUUCACUACAUAUAAUGGUUUCCAUUACAUCCAUUUCAUUUUUUUUUUACCGCAUUGUAGUAUUCCAUAGUAUAUAUACCAUAAUUUCUUUAUCCAGUUUUCAGUUGAUGGACAUCUGGCUUGAUUCCAUGUAUUAGCUAUUGUAUAUCAAGCUGGAAUGAACAUGGGGGCACAGAUCACUCUUUCAUAUGCUGAUUUCAUUUCCUUUGUAUAAAUUCCCAGGAAUAGGAUGGCUGGAUCAUAUGGUGGGUCUGUAUUUGGCUUUAUGAGAUAUCUCCAUACUAUCUUCCACAGUGGCUGUAACAGUUUACAUUCCUACCAAUAGUGGAUUAGGGAACCCUUUUCCCCACAUCCUCUCCAGCAUUUGUUGUUUGUUAAUUUGUGUAUGAGAGCCAUUCUAAUGGGGGUGCGGUGAAACCUCACUGUGGUUUUGAUUUGUAUUUUGAUUUGGCUAGCAAUCCCAAGCAUUUUUUAUGUGUCUAUUGGCCAUUUGAAAUUCCUCUCUUGAAAAAUGUCUGUUCAGGUCCUUUGCCCAUUUAUUGACUAGGCUGUUUGUUUUGUACUUGUUGAGUUUCUUAAGCUCUUUAUAGAUUCUAGAGGUUAAUCCUUUAUCAGUUUCAUAGUUUGCAAAUAUUUUCUCCCAUUCUGUUGGUUUCCUGUUCAGUUUGCUGAGUGUUUCUUCUGAGGUGCAGGAGCCUCUCAGUUUGAUGUAAUCCCAUUUGUUAAUUUGACUUUGAUUGCCUGUGCUUCUGGGAUAUUUUCCAAGAAAUCUUUCCUUAUGCCAAUGUCUUGUAGGGCUUCCCCAAUGUUUUCUAGUAAUUUGAUGUUAUCAGGGCAUAGAUCCAUUUUGAGUGGAUUUUUGUGUAAGAUGUAAGGUGGUGGUCUUGUUUCAUUUUCUGCAUGUGGAGAUCCAAUUUUUCCAGCACCAUGGUCUUAGCUCCAGUGGUUGAUAUUUUGCUUCUUUGUCAAAGAUAAGUUGGUUAUAGAUUUGUGGGUUAAUUUCUGGCAUUUCUAUUCUGUUCCAUUGGUCUAUCCAUCUGUUUUUGUACAGUACCAGCCUGUUUUAAUUAUAAUUAUCCUGUGGUAUGUCUAGAGGUCUGGUAUUGUGAUGCCUCUAGCUUUGUUUUUAUUGUUUAAGAUUGCUUUAGCUAUUUGAGGUUUCUUGUGUUUCCAUAUGAAUUGUAGCAUAGCUUUUUCUAGAUCUGAAAAGAAUGUUGUUGAUAUUUUGAUUGGGAAUGCAUUAAAUCUAUAAAUUGCUUUUGGUAGUAUGGACAUUUUGAUGAUGUUGAUUCUUCCAACUCAUAAACAUGGAAGAUUUUUCCAAUUUUUAGGUCUUCUUCUAUUUUUCUUUUUAAUGUUUUAUAAUUUUCAUUGUAGAGCUCUUUGUUGUCCUUGGUUAAAUUUAUUCCAAAAUAUUUAAUUUUUUUGUAGCUAUUGUGUAUGGGAUUGCGCUUAGAAGUUCUUUCUCAGCUGUGGCAUUGUCUGUGUAUACAAGGGAUAUUGAUUUUAGAGUGUUUAUAUACCAAACUCUUUUAUGAGGUCCAAUAGUCUCUUCACAGAGUCUUUUGGGUUCCCUAUAUAUAGAAUCAUGUCAUCAGCAAAUAGGGAUUUCUUUCUUCCCUAUUUGUAUCCCUUUGAUUUCUUUUUCUUGCCUGAUGGUUCUGGCUAAAACUUCCAGGACUAUAUUAAAUAGCAGUGGUGAGAGUGGGCAUCCUUGUCUGGUUCCUAAUCUUAAUGGGAAUGCCUCCAAUUUUUACCUAUUCAGUAGCAUUCAAGCUGUGGAUUUGUUGUAAAUUGCUUUGUUUAUGUUGAGGAAUUUUCCUCUUAUACCCAAUUUGCUUUUGGUUUUCUUCAUAAAAGGGUGUUGAAUUUUGUCAAAUGCUUUCUCUGCAUCUAUUAAGAUAAUCAUAUGGUUUUUGGUCUUUAGUUUGUUAAUGUAGUGUAUCACAUUUAUUGAUUUGCAAAUGUUGAACCAUCCCUGCAUACUGGAGAUGAAUCCAACUUGGUCUGGGUGAAUGAACUUUCUGAUGUGUUGUUGGAUUUGAUUGGCCAGUAUUUUGUUGAAGAUUUUUUGCAUCUAUGUUCAUCAGGCUUAUUGAUCUUUAGUUCUCUUUCUCUGUCGUAUCUUUUUCUGCCUUAGGAAAAGGUGAUGCAGGCUUCAUAGAAGGAGUUUGGGAGAAUUCUCUCCCUUUCAAUUGUUUUGAAUAGCUUGAGAAAAAUUGAGAUUAGUUCUUUUUAAAAUGUCUGAUAGAAUUCUGCAGUGAAGCUGUCGAGGCCUGGGCUUUUCUUUGUUGGAAGGGUCUUUAUUACUGAUUUAAUGUCUGUCUUGGUUAUUCAUCUAUUUAGAUGUUCUAUGUCUUAAUGACUCAAUUUAGGUAGGUUGUAUGUGUGCAGCAAUCUAUCCAUACAGCUCCUUAAUAGUAAUUUCUGAUGAUUCUUUUUAUUUCUGUGUUAUCUGUUAUUACAUUUCCUUUUUCAUCUCUGAUUAUUGAUUUGGGUCUUCUCCUUUUUUUUUUUGAUUAAUUAGGCCCAUGGUGUUCAAUUUUUUUAUUUUUUUCAAAA